AACGAACGCUGGCGGCAUGCCUAACACAUGCAAGUCGAACGAAACCUUCGGGUCUAGUGGCGCACGGGUGCGUAACGCGUGGGAACCUGCCCUUAGGUUCGGAAUAACUCCCCGACAGGGGUGCUAAUCCCGGAUAAUGUCUUCGGACCAACGAUUUAUCGCCUUUGGAUGGGCCCGCGUUGGAUUAGCUAGUUGGUAGGGUAACAGCCUACCAAAGCGACGAUCCAUAGCUGGUCUGAGAGGAUGAUCAGCCACACUGGGACUGAGACACGGCCCAGACUCCUACGGGAGGCAGCAGUGGGGAAUAUUGGACAAUGGGCGAAAGCCUGAUGCAGCAAUGCCGCGUGAGUGAUGAAGGCCUUAGGGAUGUAAAGCUCUUUUAGCCGGGAUGAUAAUGACAGUACCGGGAGAAUAAGCUCCGGCUAACUCCGUG
rnacentral:rRNA from 1 species